UCUAAUACCGAAUAGGACCGCAUGCUUCAUGGUGUGUGGUGGAAAGCUUUUGCGGUGUGGGAUGGGCCCGCGGCCUAUCAGCUUGUUGGUGGGGUAAUGGCCUACCAAGGCGACGACGGGUAGCCGGCCUGAGAGGGUGUCCGGCCACACUGGGACUGAGAUACGGCCCAGACUCCUACGGGAGGCAGCAGUGGGGAAUAUUGCACAAUGGGCGCAAGCCUGAUGCAGCGACGCCGCGUGGGGGAUGACGGCCUUCGGGUUGUAAACCUCUUUCAGUAUCGGCGAAGCUCCAGGAUUUUUCUUGGGGUGACGGUAGGUACAGAAGAAGCACCGGCCAACUACGUGCCAGCAGCCGCGGUAAUACGUAGGGUGCGAGCGUUGUCCGGAAUUACUGGGCGUAAAGAGCUCGUAGGUGGUUUGUCACGUUGUCCGUGAAAACUCACAGCUUAACUGUGGGCGUGCGGGCGAUACGGGCAGACUGGAGUACUGUAGGGGAGACUGGAAUUCCUGGUGUAGCGGUGGAAUGCGCAGAUAUCAGGAGGAACACCGGUGGCGAAGGCGGGUCUCUGGGCAGUAACUGACGCUGAGGAGCGAAAGCGUGGGGAGCGAACAGGAUUAGAUACCCUGGUAGUCCACGCCGUAAACGGUGGGUACUAGGUGUGGGUUUCCUUCCUUUAGGGAUCCGUGCCGUAGCUAACGCAUUAAGUACCCCGCCUGGGGAGUACGGCCGCAAGGCUAAAACUCAAAGGAAUUGACCGGGGGCCCGCACAAGCGGCGGAGCAUGUGGAUUAAUUCGAUGCAACGCGAAGA
rnacentral:rRNA from 2 species